rnacentral:rRNA from 1 species
UUGCCCGACGCCCCGCGUACAAGAAACUACGAAAGGAAGUUCGAGGGCCCCGCACAAGCAGCGGAGCGUGUGGUUUAAUUCGAUGCUACACGAAGAACCUUACCAGGGUUUGACAUACAAGUAGUAGGGAAAGGAAACUGGACCGACCCUUCGGGGAGCUUGAACAGGUGCUGCAUGGCUGUCGUCAGCUCGUGUCGUGAGAUGUUCGGUUAAGUCCGCUAACGAGCGCAACCCUCGCUGUGUGUUACAAGUGUCACACGGAACUGCCGGUCAUAAACCGGAGGAAGGUGGGGAUGACGUCAAGUCAGCAUGGCCUUUAUAUCCUGGGCUACACACACGCUACAAUGGGAAGGGACAAUAGGUUGCGAAACCGCGAGGUGGAGCCAAUCCAGCAAAACUUCCCUCAGUUCAGAUUGCAGGCUGCAACUCGCCUGCAUGAAGUUGGAGUUGCUAGUAAACGCAGGUCAGCCAUACUGCGUUGAAUACGUUCCCGGGGCUU